CCGCCCAGCCCUGGGGCACCCCGAGCGGCCGAAGCGGCCUGGGGACGGGGCUGGAAGUAGCGGCCGGGCCGGGCUGUCGGAGCAGAGACGGUCCUGGCGGGCGCGCCUGCCCCGGCGGCCUCUCGGAGCGCAGCGCCCGCGCGCCCGGCGUCCCAAGAGCCGGCGGGCACCCUAUUCGCCCCCUGGCGGCGCCGGGGACUCGCCGGGCGCCGCCGCUGCCACCGCCGCAGGAUGAGCUGUCCACAGCAGCACUGGGCGCCGCCCGAGGUCCCGCACGAAUCUGUCCCGGGGCCGCGAACCCGGAGGUAGGCCGCGCUUGGAGGAAUGGAGGAACGAGGGAACGCGGCAUCUAGGAGGUUUGGGGGGGGUUUCCCCCUGGAUCCACGUCCUCCAUAUCCUGCGUGGUCUUCUCCACCAGCAUGAAACCGGACACCAAGGAACCUCAUCCCCUGCUGGUCCUCCCUCCCCUCGCCCAGUCUCUUUGGAAAUAAAAGCCACCCUCUCGUUCUUAAUCAUUCUGGGAAAGGUCCCCGCAUCUCCCCUCCCUCUGCAGUGACCUGACCAUGGUAACCUUGAAGAUUUGGCCACACCAGGACGUGCCACACCCAGCCCUUGCCGCGGGUGCAGAGCUCUGAGUGCUAGGAGGUUAUCAGAAAGAUCAGCAUUCCACAUCGCCCUUGGCGCCCCUUGGGAGCCUAGCACUGCCCUAGGUUUUGUGGGAGAUCAAAGUCCUUGCCCUCUAGGUACUUCCAAUCUCAGAAGACAAAGACACUCAGGAGACUAUUGGCACAGCAAGUGGCCUGGCAGCAGGAGCUCAGGGGAGGGCAUGGUGGGGAUGGGCCAGAGCGUGAACACUGGAGCCAUUAGAAUUUGCUGAAUGGACAGGAUUUGGAAGGAGAGAGAGGGAGGGAGAGCACAGACCGUCCUGGUCCAAUCUGGAGUGGAGGGCUGGUGUGGGAGAGUUGGGGUGGCCAAUCCCAGAAGCCCUGUAAAGGUUAGCUUCUGCAGUGGGAAAGACAGAGGAAGAAGAGCUGGAAGCUGGACGCCCCUCUGGGAAGCGGCUGCGAAGUCUUGCUCUGAUGUGCUGGCUGAGGAACGGCGCACUUGCAGUUCUGAGGGGCAUGUGUGCAGGGUCCGCCACCCUCCACGAUCUCCCUCUUCUACCAGGAGCCUGAUGGCAACGGGGAGGAGCAUGCCUUAUUUCUUCACGAAUGAUGCCUACAUGAGUGUGUCUGAGGCUGUGCAUGCCCCGUAGCGUCUGCUGCCAUUACCCCCACCUCCGCUGGAAUAGGGCCCAUAGAGGAACAAGGUCUCUCAGCCACCAUGCCCUGCCACUCCUUUUUAACAUUUACAGACACAGCUAUCCAUUUCUAAGUCCGUACUACGUGCCAUGCACUGUGGUAGGCACACUGGGUGCAUGACCUCAUUUGUUCCUCUUAGUAGCUCAGAGGCUCAUCGACCCUACUCUUUCGUUCCGGUUCCCAAAUCCAGCCAGGCACAAGGGGUUGAAAUCUGUUCCCUAAGCUGAUAUAGAGGACACAGUCCAGUCUUGGCGUCACUCACUGUGUGGUGGCUCAGUAAAUAUUAAUUAACUCUGAGGACAAGCUGCACUUUGACUCAUCUCUGGCUAAUUAAAUAAACCUGCCAUGUAAAUCAGCUGUGGGGACAAAGAGAUAUUAGGCUGUGCUGAAAAGAAAUUGGGCUGAGGGACAGUUGGCCUCCAAGCAGAAGUCUACCUUGGCCUGCUCUGGCUCCCUCCGUGUUCUUUGAAGCCAGGGCCAGAGUUGUGGGAAUAAGGAGUAACCUACUUCUCAGAGAAAGCCUCACCCCCCGACGUCCUGGAGAACAGCGAGGAGGGAGGCAGGGUUUAUGUGCCCACUGUGUCCUGCAGGCCCACGAUGAUGUGAGUGUUCUCUCAGGAGAUGAGACAGAGCUGUCCGGCCUUCCCUGCUCUUCCCCCACUCCGUCCCCAUCCCUGAGGCAUCACGUCCCAGGGGUCCUGUGGGAGACCUGGCGCCCAGAAAGCACAGGCUGUGAAAGCCCCUUCCAACAGCACCUGGCAGUUUGCGACUCUGGUGGGGCUGGCAGGCACCUCACUGGGCUCUGCUUCCUUCUGCUCCUUCCUGCAGAUAAUGAGCCGUGGCAAUGUCCCAGAUUCUCUGGAGGCCCCGCUCCCACUCUGACCAACCUAGGGCAGGCCACUUAACCUCACCCGGCCUGGACUCCACUUUGUCGAAUAGGGAAAUAGCACUGUCAACCUCACAGGGUGGGCUGUGCACAAAGUAAGGGCUCAGGAAGUGGUAACUAUUUGAUGAUGAUGAUGGUGAUGAUAUUGUGUCUGGUUCGUAACAGCCAACUGUAUCCCCCAGUACUGCUGGGCUGUCUUGAGAUACAGUCAGGGUAGCUACUGUGUUUGAGCCUUAAGCUGUCACUUCGAAGGUGGCUGUUCUUUAUAUGGAAAAAGAGAGAACAGCAUCUCAAAAGAAUGUCAUGAUGUGAACAUGUAAGGAUAAAAUGACAUAAGGUAGGGGCGAGGGCAAGGGCACAGCGAGUGUGUGAGUUGCCGAGAAAGGACGGAACAGUGUGCCCCUUCCCCUCCCCUCCAAGUCCCUCCCUGCAGCCACGUGGGAGCCCUCACCCCUCAGGGCUUGUGUCCUUCCUCCUCCCCUGGGCUUGCGUCCUGUUCCCAGCGCUAGCAUUGCUCAGAAGUUAAAGGCCAAACUUGGGGGCCUGUGGUUCAUUCAAGCCGAUCCCCACAUUGUCCUCUACUAGGGGGAGCCACACCUGUCACCAUGGUGGGCCACAGGAGUUCUGCAGGGUCCCCUAGAGCUGCCAAGCAGGUACAAGACAAACAUCUACACUCAGCGCAUUGGAACAGAUCAAAUGUGGUUCUCAAAAGCUCAGACUUGCAAUCUUUGGAGAAGGCCCAGGUUUGGCUCCCUUUAACUCCAAACAAAUUCUUGUGGGAUGUUGCAAUUACUUGUGACAAUCCGUCUCCCUGCCUGGGACUUUGAUUUCAGAUUUAGACAUGUAAAACUGGGUGGCUGGCUGGGCCUUGAGCAACUUGGGGGGUAGGGUGGGGGAUGGCCAGGGAAAAAUCUUUGCAGCAUACUGUGUUUGAAAGAAAGAUCUCAAGGAAUCAGACACUGUAGCUCUGUUUGUGUUACCAGAACUUUUUCAGCCACUGUGGCAGAUUUCCUGUCCCUGAAAUUGGUUCACUAUGCUGGAGUGGCUCAUUCUGUCCUUUGAAAUACAAAUGUCUAGGAAUCAUUUUCUGUAAUAGUCUUAUGUUAGAGUAACUUUCCAAUCACUGUAACAAAUUCUGCAGUCCUUACCCUGAAAUCUUAUCCCCCGGAUAAGCAGCAGAUGAAGAUCGGUCAAGGCCACAAGGGAUAUUUUCGUGGUAACUUGUGCUGACCUGACCCCAGAGGAGCCUGGAAGCAGGAGGAGGUGAUGCAGAGAGAGCCAAGCGGAUGUAGAAACAAGAGAAGAGCAUGGCUGGGCAGAGUGUGUCUGGAUGUCGGGGCUCUGUGGCCUUUCUGGGUACUGAGUACAUAUGCAAACGCUUUGGGCAAACCGCCCGUGUCUUUAUGUUGCCAUUGUACCUGGCCUUAAAGCAAGUUUUAAGCCCUAGACCCCAUGUUGGGCCGCUCUUCCCCUACUUCCCAGCCACCCUCCUGGUCUGAGAGCCCACACAACCUUAGUUCUGGCUCCUUUGGCUUUCAUAGUGGCAACAAAACUGCUGGAUACCGCUGUCCCUGAAAGGGUUUUGGGCAGAAGGGCCUUCUUUGUUUCACCCCUAGGCUUUUGACAGUCAGCCUGACCUAGCAGCUUGCCUCCUGAGGCUGGUGCACAGGACAGAAAUCUGGGAUCAAAAAUGGCUAGGAAUUCCUAGACGCUCUAUGGAGCCCAGGCUGAUGUGCAAAGUCCCAGGUGCCUGUUGGCAGAUCUGGGGUCAUAAACUCUUGCCUUUAGUGUGGGUAUCUGGCACAGAAUCACUAAUACUUCUAUUCCCUCAAAUACCCUGUGAUCUCUCCUCUCCUUCCAUCCAUCUUGUCAGGACAAAGUUUAGAAAUUACAUGCAACAGUAUGAAAAGAGAGGUCAGAAUCAGGGGCUGUGUUUCAGGCCCACCGGAUUCCCAGGGAAUUCCUACCAAAGGAAACACCCAGCUGUCCUACUCUGGAUUAGAAGCACUGCAAUUCCCGAGGGAGCAAGAUGAGAAGGGAGAUUCUGGGAAUGGGAUGUAAAGGCAGGGAAUAAAGGAGAUAGGACAAUCCCCCUGGAGUUCUUUUGAGUCUUAGAAAGAUAAAGCUCCGAAUGCCUGAGCAAAAGCAAAUGCUCACUGCUUCACUCAUAUCUGAGUGGGAAGAGGGAGGGAAUAAGCUCGGAUCAUGGGACAUGGCAAUAAAAGGAUCUGGUGGCUCAGGGCACUGGCCAAGGGAUGCUGAGGGGACCGUAGGAGUCAGCAGAAGAGAGAAUGUCUCCCCCAGAGGCCUUUAAGAACAUAGCUGAGACAUUCUGUUUCUGGAUGAGAAGACUCAAUGUUAUAAAGAUAUCGACUCUCUCCAACUUAAUUUAUAUAAUAAAAUAAAAUCCC
ensembl:lncRNA